GGAGGGUGCGAGCGUUGUUCGGAAUUACUGGGCGUAAAGGGCGCGUAGGCGGUCUUAUAAGUCAUAUGUGAAAGCCCACGGCUCAACCGUGGAAGUGCAUGUGAAACUGUAAGACUUGAGUAUGGGAGAGGAAAGUGGAAUUCCCGGUGUAGAGGUGAAAUUCGUAGAUAUCGGGAGGAAUACCGGUGGCGAAGGCGACUUUCUGGACCAAUACUGACGCUGAGGCGCGAAAGCGUGGGUAGCAAACAGGAUUAGAUACCCUGGUAGUCCACAGCUGUAAACGAUGAUAACUAGGUAUAGGGGGUGUUGACCCCUUCUGUGCCGCAGCUAACGCAUUAAGUUAUCCGCCUGGGGAGUACGGUCGCAAGAUUA
rnacentral:rRNA from 1 species